CGGUCCGCGGCCGGUGGACGCCUUCGCUGCCGGCGGCGGCGACAUCGGCCUCCGGUUCGGAAUCCGGGAAGACCGGC
rnacentral:tRNA from 1 species